CUAACUCAAUUUUGUAUGGAGUUGGAAAGUUUUCCAAGGUUUACCGCUAGGGGCGCUGCUCUAACUGCCUACAAAUUUGAGUUA
rnacentral:pre_miRNA from 1 species